rnacentral:lncRNA from 1 species
UUCUGGUCAGUAGGGAUAGGACUGGAAGGAUCUGGUCAGUAGGGAUAGGACUGGAAGGUUCUGGUCAGUAGGUAUAGGACUGGAAGGUUCUGGUCAGUAGGUAUAGGACUGGAAGGUUCUGGUCAGUAGGGAUAGGACUGGAAGGUUCUGGUCAGUAGGGAUAGGACUGGAAGGUUCUGGUCAGUAGGGAUAGGACUGGAAGGUUCUGGUCAGUAGGGCUAGGACUGGAAGGUUCUGGUCAGUAGGGAUAGGACUGGAAGGUUCUGGUCAGUAGGGAUAGGACUGGAAGGUUCUGGUCAGUAGGUAUAGGACUGGAAGGUUCUGG